AGACCACGCCCUCCAGCCUCCCUUGUUUGGGUGUGUGGACUGAGGCCCAGGGCGGGGUUCAUUCCUUCGAGUUCAUUCACACAGCAGACACCGGGGAGGGCUGUGUGGGGCACGGACGCAGGGAGCUCGUGGCAGGGCUGACACAGGGUGUGGUGGGCACAGGGACAGGAGGCACGGGAGGCUUCCCGGGAUGUCUGGGAAGUGUUCCAGGCCAAGGCUGGGGAGGCUGGCCCAGGGCAGGUGACAGACAGAGGCCUGGACUGGGGUGGCACCCAUGAGAGGGGAGAAGUCCGGGGCAGUCGGCGGGUGCCGAGGGUGAGUGACACGUCCUGGGGGAGGGGUAGCCGGGUGCCGAGGGUGGUGACACGUCCUGGGGGAGGGGUAGCCGGGUGCCGAGGGUGGGUGACACGUCCUGGGGGAGGGGUAGCCGGGUGCCGAGGGUGGGUGACACGUCCUGG
rnacentral:lncRNA from 1 species